UACAGAGGGUGCAAACGUUGUUCGGAAUUACUGGGCGUAAAGCGCGUGCAGGCGGCCUUGCAAGUCGGACGUGAAAUCCCACGGCUCAACCGUGGAAGGGCAUUCGAAACUGCGAGGCUGGAGUCCUGGAGAGGAAAGUGGAAUACUCGGUGUAGAGGUGAAAUUCGUAGAUAUUCGGAAGAACACCAGUGGCGAAGGCGACUUACUGGACACAUAUUGACGCUGAGGUGCGAAAGCGUGGGGAGCAAACAGG
rnacentral:rRNA from 1 species